rnacentral:rRNA from 1 species
GUACACACCGCCCGUCGCUCCUACCGAUGGAACGAUCAGGUGAAAUCGGUGGACUUCCCAACUUCCGCAAGGCUGUUGGGGAGGAAGUCGAGUAAACCUUGUCGUUUGUAGGAAGGAGAAGUCGUAACAAGGUUUCCGUAGGUGAACCUGCAGAAGGAUCA